rnacentral:rRNA from 1 species
AGAGAAUAGGCCCAAGCGACUGUUUACCAAAAACAUAGGUUUCUGCUAAGUCGCAAGACGAUGUAUAGGAGCUGACGCCUGCCCGGUGCUGGAAGGGUAAGGGGAUCUGUUAGAGCAAUCGAAGCAGUGAACUUAAGCCCCAGUAAACGGCGGCCGUAACUAUAACGGUCCUAAGGAAGCGAAAUUCCUUGUCGGGUAAGUUCCGACCCGCACGAAAGGCGUAACGAUUUGGGCACUGUCUCAACA